GAGUUUGAUCAUGGCUCAGAUUGAACGCUGGCGGCAUGCCUAACACAUGCGAGUCGUACGGCAGCAGGUCCUUCGGGAUGCUGGCGAGUGGCGGACGGGUGAGUAAUGCGUAGGAACCUAUCCUUUUGUGGGGGACAACCCAGGGAAACUUGGGCUAAUACCGCAUAAGCCCUGAGGGGGAAAGCGGGGGAUCUUCGGACCUCGUGCUGAAGGAGGGGCCUACGUCCGGUUAGCUAGUUGGUGGGGUAAAGGCCUACCAAGGCGACGAUCGGUAGCUGGUCUGAGAGGACGACCAGCCACACUGGGACUGAGACACGGCCCAGACUCCUACGGGAGGCAGCAGUGGGGAAUUUUUCGCAAUGGGGGCAACCCUGACGAAGCAAUGCCGCGUGGAUGAAGAAGACCUUCGGGUUGUAAAGUCCUUUCGUGGGGGACGAAAAGGCGGAUCCGAAUACGGUCUGCUGUUGACGUGAACCCAAGAAGAAGCACCGGCUAACUCCGUGCCAGCAGCCGCGGUAAUACGGAGGGUGCGGGCGUUAAUCGGAAUUACUGGGCGUAAAGGGCGCGUAGGCGGUGGGUUACGUCUGCCGUGAAAUCCCCGGGCUCAACCUGGGAAUGGCGGUGGAAACGGGCUGACUGGAGUAUGGGAGAGGGUGAUGGAAUUCCAGGUGUAGCGGUGAAAUGCGUAGAGAUCUGGAGGAACACCAGUGGCGAAGGCGGUCACCUGGCCCAAUACUGACGCUGAGGCGCGAAAGCGUGGGGAGCAAACAGGAUUAGAUACCCUGGUAGUCCACGCCCUAAACGAUGGGUACUAAGUGUGGGAGGGUUAAACCUCCCGUGCCGCAGCCACGCAGUAAGUACCCCGCCUGGGGAGUACGGCCGCAGGUGAACUCAAGGAUGACGGGGCCGCACAAGCGGUGGUGCAUGUGGUUAUCGACGCACGCG
rnacentral:rRNA from 1 species